CACCAACAAAAUUAAAACACAACCGACCAAGCAAGAAGUCUUGCAGCUAUAGCUUGGGGAGGAAUUUGGCUACAGGACAACUCCAGCAUUGGUCUCAAACUGGGAUGGGGGGUACCACUACUCAUGGGAGUUACUGGUGGUAUGACUUUUGCAGAUGUCCACAAGAAUUGAAGAUCCACGACUAUAAACAUAGGAUGCCUCAAAUAUUUUUACAACAGUGAUGGUUCACAGAGUCCUUGCAAGGGCCAUCUGAUGAAACUCUGAAUGAUCUCAGCUCAGGUAAAAUUCACUUUCAUCAUCAUUUCUGUACUGUGCAUGGAGUUUUUAUAGAAAAAGUUCUUUCAUGUUUGAAAAUCUAAUUUAAGAAUUACAGAAACACACUUCAAAAAGAGCAGAUUGUUAGUUAUGCUUAGGAGACCAAAUCUGCAGAAGGUCGAGAGAUGAUGUUGGUUGUUGGGAACUAAGAGAAAAGAGAGAAAGGAAAAGCUUAGAUAUGGCACAAAGAGGGCAAAACAGCACAGUGCAGGGAAAAAAUUAACAAAUUGUUUAGGAAAAUGCUUUCUUGAAGGAGGAAAGUCAUCACACACAUUGAUUUGUGUGUCAGUAAUCUUUAUAAGGUGCUAUGGAAGAAAACAGGUACAAAUUUUUAUGUAACUACUACUUUAAGAGUGGUUAACAAAGAAACAUGAAGUGAUUGAUCUAGCUUGAGGAGUUCCUAUUCUCACUCUAUAUUGUUUCAGAUUCUACUUUAAACCCAAUGCAUCCUCAGUAAAUCUUGUUCCUUGAGUUAGCUGUUUAAUUACAGCACUGCUUCAGCAGUUUUUUACUGGCCUAAUCACAUGAGAUAAUCAUUUAACUGCCUCACAGAGAGAAAGAGAAGUGUCUCUGAAGACCUCUGAGAAUACGUCUGCUCUUCAGCUGAACGUGCACAUAACUGGUGCUGGGGAGCUCCUUCUGGGAAGUCUUUCUGGAAACCACAGAUCAAAGUUGAGUGGAUUGCCAUGGUGAUUUGUAAUACCCAUCGCUCCAUAUCAGGCCCUUUUUAGCAAGCACGAGUGACUGCGGGUAAGCAGCCUGACAACUUUCAGGUUGAUACAGGAGAUAACUAAAGAAUUCAGAAACACUCAGGGUGUGAGUGUCCCAGAAAGCACAUAGGCAGGGUUGUCUCUGGAGCUUGGAUGAGCCUGGGUGCUGUGUCUCACUUUAUCAUCCUGCUGUUGUUCAGCUCUUAAAUAUAAGGCACAUCCAUAAGCAAUUAACUGUAAUUCUGUUGUAUGUACCUAAGCUCUGGAUCAUUUGUCUAUCAUCUCCAAGAACAUCAGUCAGAAGAUAGAACAGGACUGAGGUGAUUUUAACACUGUUCUUACAAUAGCAAGUAUAGAAAAAGGUAACUUCUUUGCAGAAAAAAAUGACCUAAACUUGCAUUGUAAUGGAAAAGGGAAAAAAUAACGAAAGAAAGCCACACUAUACAAAUAUAUUAAUAUAUUUAUAUAUUAUAUUCCAGAACUGAAACAGGUUAAUUGAUUUAGUAAAUUAGCUUACUGAUUUGCAGUACUAGUCUCCUGGCUAUGAACCGUAAGGCCAGAUGGUUAUGAGUGUACAGCUUAUCGCUCAUUCCAAGAGCAUUUUUAGACAAUUCAAUAGAUAUGGAUCUAAUAGAUAUUAGAUAUUAUUCCAUUAAAUGUUUAAAUAAAUGAUCAUGAUCACUAAUCCAAGUGAAUCUGGUAAAUUUGACUUUUCUUUGAAUUAAGUUAAUGCAUCUGUGUAAAUAUUGCAGGAUUACUCACUAAUACUGUGAACAGCUGAAAUGGAAAGCUGCAGUCUUCACAGUGCUUUUAUCCUACAUGGAUCACUGCUGUGUCAGUGUUAAGUCUAUGGACAGCCUAAGUGCUAGUCUUGAGUGAUGCUACUCCAACUACCCAUUAUGAUUCACUCGGUCCUUCAAGUUGUUUGGUACAGCUUUUGGAGUGCAAAACAUCUCACAUCUAUCAGAUCAGAGCAACAAAGUCAAUUGAAACUCAUCCCUUUAGUAAAGAAGGUGUUUUAUCUUCUGACUACUCAGGCAGUAGAAUAGAAGCUGCAGAAAACUCAGCAGUUUUCUUCCAGAACCACAGUGGAGCUGGAAAAUCUAUCUGCAUUAGAAGUUACUGUAUAAUUAGAAAAGAUAAUGACUUUAAAAUUAGUUUUUAUUAAUAGAAUUAAGCCACAUUAAGUCAUAAAAGGUGUUCAUAAAUAUGUUAAUAGAAUGUGUGGUAUUAAUGAAAAACAUUCUGUAAAGUCUGAAUAAUUUAAGAGCUAGAUAUUACACAUUUAAUUAAAAUUAAAUAUUAAAAUUAUUAAUUAUUGCAGCUAAAAUGGGUGUUGCCAGUAGGCAUCACAUCCUGUCUGGUCAAUAAAUAGAUGUCAUUAUUAAAUAUACAUAGAUAAUAAUAAAAUUUAGUUAAUAAGUAAGGAAUUCAGAGCAUUUUGACUGUUUCAUCAAAUGCCCCUCAGAAAGCUGUUCCCAGCAGGUGAUGUGUUGGCAGUUCUCACUUCAGAUCACAGCGGGAUCUUAAGCAAAAUACAGAACUUGGUUCAAAUGCAUCCUUAUUUACAAUGUUCAUGCAUAAAUAUUCCUAUCCUGCUAUUGUUAGAAGCUGUUGAAUUAAUUUUGUCUCUCUUCAGCUACCUCUUUUCAGACUCAAGGCCACUGGGCACUGAAGGGUCAGCCCUAUGACCAGGCUUGCUGUUGGGAUUAUUGUGACAUCUGACAUCUUCUGGACGCUGAGACCAUUUUCUCUGAAAACUGUCUAAUGAGAUGGAAGUGAAUGAAUAAGUGAAUGCAGUAUUGUAAUGUUACUCUCCUAAUGAGCAAACACCAAGUACGUGCUGUCAGAAUGAACUCAGAUGUUUAAAAUUCUGAACUGCAUAUGUGUUGCUGUAGCUAAAAAAAUGUAAUAUUCUCCAUGGUCACGUUUGCUAAACAUGAGUUGGAGAGUGACAGUUAGCAUAUACUGUCAAAUAAUAAUAAAAAAAGCAUUUUAUUUUCUGAAUGAUUUCUUCCAAGCAAGGAGUAACGAGCUGUGAGAAGUCUGGCAGGUUUCACAAGCUCCCAUAGCUUCUCCCUGCUGUAGGGCCACAAACACCGCAGG